rnacentral:rRNA from 1 species
AACGAACGCUGGCGGCAUGCCUAACACAUGCAAGUCGAACGAGACCUUCGGGUCUAGUGGCGCACGGGUGCGUAACGCGUGGGAAUCUGCCCUUGGGUUCGGAAUAACAGUUAGAAAUGACUGCUAAUACCGGAUGAUGUCUUCGGACCAAAGAUUUACCGCCCAAGGAUGAGCCCGCGUAAGAUUAGCUAGUUGGUGAGGUAAUGGCUCACCAAGGCGACGAUCUUUAGCUGGUCUGAGAGGAUGAUCAGCCACACUGGGACUGAGACACGGCCCAGACUCCUACGGGAGGCAGCAGUGGGGAAUAUUGGACAAUGGGCGAAAGCCUGAUCCAGCAAUGCCGCGUGAGUGAUGAAGGCCUUAGGG